rfam:Parcubacteria bacterium GW2011_GWC1_38_22 TS82_C0003, whole genome shotgun sequence.
CGGGGCGUGGUGUCAACGGUAGCACGAGUGAUUUGGGAUCAUUUAGACAGGGUUCGAAUCCCUGCGCCCCGA